rnacentral:rRNA from 1 species
GAGGCAGCAGUGGGGAAUUUUUCGCAAUGGGGGCAACCCUGACGAAGCAAUGCCGCGUGGAUGAAGAAGGCCUUCGGGUUGUAAAGUCCUUUCGUGGAGGACGAAAAGGUGGGUUCUAAUACAAUCUGCUAUUGACGUGAAUCCAAGAA